AAAAGGGUAGCAAUAUCCUGAGUAAAGCGGCGCACGGGUGAGUAACACGUGGGUAAUCUGCCCUGGAGUGGGGAAUAACACCGGGAAACCGGUGCUAAUACCGCAUACGAUCGCGAUGUCUGCGGACGUUGUGAUGAAAGGAGCAAUUCGCUCCAGGAGGAGCCCGCGGCUGAUUAGCUAGUUGGUGAGGUAAUGGCUCACCAAGGCUACGAUCAGUAUCCGGUCUGAGAGGACGGUCGGACACACUGGAACUGAGACACGGUCCAGACUCCUACGGGAGGCAGCAGUGGGGAAUUUUUGGCAAUGGGGGCAACCCUGACCAAGCAACGCCGCGUGGGUGAUGAAGUCUCUUGGGACGUAAAACCCUUUCGACGGGGAAGAAACCGCAAGGUUGACGGUACCCGUAGAAGAAGCCCCGGCUAACUCCGUGCCAGCAGCCGCGGUAAUACGGGGGGGGCAAGCGUUGUUCGGAAUUACUGGGCGUAAAGGGUGCGUAGGCGGUGCUCUAAGUCGGAUGUGAAAACUCUGGGCUCAACCCAGAGCCUGCAUCCGAAACUGGAGUGCUAGAGUUCUGGAGGGGGUAGCGGAAUUCCUGGUGUAGCGGUGAAAUGCGUAGAUAUCAGGAGGAACACCGGUGGCGAAGGCGGCUACCUGGACAGAAACUGACGCUGAGGCACGAAAGCUAGGGGAGCAAACAGGAUUAGAUACCCUGGUAGUCCUAGCCCUAAACGAUGGAUACUUGGUGUGACCGGGAUUGAAUCCGGUCGUGCCGAAGCUAACGCAUUAAGUAUCCCGCCUGGGGAGUACGGUCGCAAGGCUG
rnacentral:rRNA from 1 species